CUUUUUUAUUCGAUUUUAUUCACUCUGCCUUAUUUUCCGGCCUUUGGUCGACCGCGUAUGAAGUCCGGAGUCUGCAGCAAAUGGCAUGGAGCGACCGUCGAGAAACAAGAGGACCGUUAAUUAUUCGGACUUCCUCGACGACGACGACGAGGAUUUCGCUGAUGCCAAGACGCCUCCGGUCAAGAAGGCCCGGCCGAGAGAACCGGAGGUGAAAAGGAGCAGCAAGGCCGAGGGCCAGGAAGGGCCACCGCCGGCUCCAGGCCGCGAGGAGAGGGCGUCCCUGGAGGAUUUGGAGGCGGCGCUCGCGCUCUCUUUGCUCCAGGCUCCAGAGACACGCGAUGAAGCAGUGAAAAUCCCCGACGACCCCAGCGCCCAGGCUGAGCGGCUGAUGCGGCUCACCAACUGCAGCGUGGACGCCAGUCUCCAUGGUAACACAUCAUCGCCUUUGCCGCGUUCGCACUGCCCGGCGUGCAGGUGUUCUGGUGGGACCGUGAAUGCUGUCUUCUGGCCCUCAGGU
rnacentral:lncRNA from 1 species